rnacentral:rRNA from 1 species
AUUGAACGCUGGCGGUAUGCUUAACACAUGCAAGUCGAACGGCAGCAUGGUCUAGCUUGCUAGACUGAUGGCGAGUGGCGGACGGGUGAGUAACGCGUAGGAAUAUGCCUUGAAGAGGGGGACAACUUGGGGAAACUCAAGCUAAUACCGCAUGUACUCGAGAGAGUAAAGCAGGGGACCUGUAGGCACGGCGCUGUAAGAUUAGCCUGCGUCCGAUUAGCUAGUUGGUAGGGUAAAGGCCUACCAAGGCGACGAUCGGUAGCUGGUCUGAGGGGAUGAUCAGCCACACUGGAACUGAGAGACGGUCCAGACUCCUACGGGAGGCAGCAGUGGGGAAUAUUGGACAAUGGGGGGAACCCUGAUCCAGCAAUGCCGCGUGUGUGAAGAAGGCCUGAGGGUUGUAAAGCACUUUCAGUGGGGAGGAGGUUUGGAAGGUUAAGAGCUAUUCAAAUGGACGUUACCCACAGAAGAAGCACCGGCUAACUCCGUGCCAGCCGCCGCCGUAA